rnacentral:rRNA from 1 species
AUUGAACGCUGGCGGCAUGCUUUACACAUGCAAGUCGAACGGUAACAGGGAGCUUGCUCCGCUGACGAGUGGCGAACGGGUGAGUAAUGCGUCAGAACGUGCCGAGUAGUGGGGGAUAACGCAUCGAAAGGUGUGCUAAUACCGCAUACGUACUGAGGUAGAAAGUGGGGGACCUUCGGGCCUCACGCUAUUCGAGCGGCCGACGUCUGAUUAGCUAGUUGGUGAGGUAAAAGCUCACCAAGGCGACGAUCAGUAGCGGGUCUGAGAGGAUGGCCCGCCACACUGGGACUGAGAGACGGCCCAGACUCCUACGGGAGGCAGCAGUGGGGAAUUUUGGACAAUGGGCGCAAGCCUGAUCCAGCCAUGCCGCGUGUCUGAAGAAGGCCUUCGGGUUGUAAAGGACUUUUGUCCGGGAGCAAAUGCCUGGUGUUAAUAGCACUGGGAGCUGAGAGUACCGGAAGAAUAAGCACCGGCUAACUACGUGCCAGCCGCCGCAGUAAGAC